UACGUAGGUGGCAAGCGUUGUCCGGAAUUAUUGGGCGUAAAGCGCGCGCAGGUGGCUAUGUAAGUCUGAUGUUAAAGCCCGAGGCUCAACCUCGGUUCGCAUUGGAAACUGUGUAGCUUGAGUGCAGGAGAGGAAAGUGGUAUUCCACGUGUAGCGGUGAAAUGCGUAGAGAUGUGGAGGAACACCAGUGGCGAAGGCGGCUCUUUGGUCUGUAACUGACGCUGAGGCGCGAAAGCGUGGGGAGCAAACAGG
rnacentral:rRNA from 1 species